GAUGAACGCUGGCGGCGUGCUUAACACAUGCAAGUCGAACGGAAAGGCCCUGAUUUUGUGGGGUGCUCGAGUGGCGAACGGGUGAGUAACACGUGAGUAUCCUGCCCUUGUCUUUGGGGUAACUUCAGGUAAGUGGGGCUAAUAUCGGAUAGGAGCUCCUGCUGCGGGGUGGGGGUUGGAAAGUUUCGGCGGUUGGGGAUGGAUUGGCGGCUUAUCAGCUUGUUGGUGGGGGAGUUGAUUACCAAGGGUUUGACGGGUAGGCCGCCUGGGAGGGGGACCGGCGACAAUGCGACUGAGGGACGGACCAGACGCGUACGGGAGGCAGCAGUGGGGAAUAUUGCACAAUGGGCGGAAGCCUGAUGCAGCAACGCCGCGUGCGGGAUGACGGCCUUCGGGUUGAAAACCGCUUUCGCCUGUGACGAAGCGUGAGUGACGGUAAUGGGUAAAGAAGCACCGGCUAACUACGUG
rnacentral:rRNA from 1 species